CCUGUUUUCUCGCGAGAGGAGGAGACAACCGCGACCUUCGGAGCUCCUAUUCUAGUCCUCAGUGGAGCAGGAGGAGCUCGCCUCAGGUUUUCCUCCUGAGAGAGAGAGAGAGAGAGGCUCCGGCGGAGUCCGUCGAGGGGCGUCCUUUUCCGGGCGGAUAUUGCAAAUGAAGAGGCCUAACAAGAUUGAGACAGCAAGAGCUACAGAUGUAUUUUACUAAUGGGUGUGAGCAAGCUAGAUGUGUUAUACAGACCCUUCUUCUUACUAAGCUCUUCAUUCAAGGAUGGGGGCGGCCAGAAGACCUGAAAAG